UGGGGAAUAUUGCGCAAUGGGCGAAAGCCUGACGCAGCGACGCCGCGUGAGGGAUGAAGGUUUUCGGAUCGUAAACCUCUGUCAGAAGGGAAGAAACCGCACUGUGCUAAUCAGCAGUGCCUUGACGGUACCUUCAAAGGAAGCACCGGCUAACUCCGUGCCAGCAGCCGCGGUAAUACGGAGGGUGCAAGCGUUAAUCGGAAUUACUGGGCGUAAAGCGCACGUAGGCUGCUUUGUAAGUCAGGGGUGAAAUCCCACGGCUCAACCGUGGAACUGCCUUUGAUACUGCUUAGCUUGAAUCCGGGAGAGGGUGGCUGAAUUCCAGGUGUAGGAGUGAAAUCCGUAGAUAUCUGGAGGAACAUCAGUGGCGAAGGCGGCCACCUGGACCGGUAUUGACGCUGAGGUGCGAAAGCGUGGGGAGCAAACAGG
rnacentral:rRNA from 1 species